GGAAUCUUGGACAAUGGGGGAUACCCUGAUCCAGCCAUGCCGCGUGAGUGAUGAAGGCCUUCGGGUUGUAAAACUCUUUCGACGGGGACGAUAAUGACGGUACCCGUAGAAGAAGCUCCGGCUAACUUCGUGCCAGCAGCCGCUGUAAUACGAAGGGGGCUAGCGUUGUUCGGAAUUACUGGGCGUAAAGCGCACGCAGGCGGUUCUCCAAGUCAGUGGUGAAAGCCCGGAGCUCAACUCCGGAAUUGCCAUUGAAACUGUAGAACUUCAGGACGAGAGAGGUGAGUGGAAUUCCCAGUGUAGAGGUGAAAUUCGUAGAUAUUGGGAAGAACACCGGUGGCGAAGGCGGCUCACUGGCUCGUUUCUGACGCUCAGGCGCGACAGCGUGGGGAUCAAA
rnacentral:rRNA from 1 species